CCCUUAGAUGUCCUGGGCUGCACGCGCGCUACACUGAUGUGUCCAGUAAGCACCUAACCUCUUCCGAAAGGAACGGGUAACCUUUGCAAAGCACAUCGUGAUGGGGAUAGAUUAUUGCAAUUAUUAGUCUUGAACGAGGAAUUCCUAGUAAGCACAAGUCAUCAGCUUGUGUUGAUUACGUCCCUGCCCUUUGUACUCACCGCCCGUCGCUCCUACCGAUUGAAUGUUCCGGUGAGCUCUUCGGACUGCGCGGUCUGCAGUUUCUGCGUUCCGUGCGGAAAGUUGCGCAAACCUUAACAUUUAGAGGAAGGAGAAGUCGUAACA
rnacentral:rRNA from 1 species